rnacentral:rRNA from 1 species
AGACCCGAAACCCGGUGAUCUAGCCAUGGGCAGGUUGAAGGUUGGGUAACACUAACUGGAGGACCGAACCGACUAAUGUUGAAAAAUUAGCGGAUGACCUGUGGCUGGGGGUGAAAGGCCAAUCAAACCGGGAGAUAGCUGGUUCUCCCCGAAAGCUAUUUAGGUAGCGCCUCGUGAAUUCAUCUCCGGGGGUAGAGCACUGUUUCGGCUAGGGGGCCAUCCCGGCUUACCAACCCGAUGCAAACUGCGAAUACCGGAGAAUGUUAUCACGGGAGACACACGGCGGGUGCUAACGUCCGUCGUGAAGAGGGAAACAACCCAGACCGCCAGCUAAGGUCCCAAAGUCAUGGUUAAGUGGGAAACGAUGUGGGAAGGCCCAGACAGCCAGGAUGUUGGCUUAGAAGCAGCCAUCAUUUAAAGAAAGCGUAAUAGCUCACUGGUCGAGUCGGCCUGCGCGGAAGAUGUAACGGGGCUAAACCAUGCACCGAAGCUGCGGCAGCGACACUCAGGUGUUGUUGGGUAGGGGAGCGUUCUGUAAGCCUGCGAAGGUGGCCUGUGAGGGUUGCUGGAGGUAUCAGAAGUGCGAAUGCUGACAUAAGUAACGAUAAAGCGGGUGAAAAGCCCGCUCGCCGGAAGACCAAGGGUUCCUGUCCAACGUUAAUCGGGGCAGGGUGAGUCGACCCCUAAGGCGAGGCCGAAAGGCGUAGUCGAUGGGAAACGGGUUAAUAUUCCCGUACUUGGUGUUACUGCGAAGGGGGGACGGAGAAGGCUAUGUUGGCCGGGCGACGGUUGUCCCGGUUUAAGCGUGUAGGUGUGUGUUCCAGGUAAAUCCGGUUCACUUUAACACUGAGGCGUGAUGACGAGGCACUACGGUGCUGAAGCAACAAAUGCCCUGCUUCCAGGAAAAGCCUCUAAGCAUCAGGUAACAUCAAAUCGUACCCCAAACCGACACAGGUGGUCAGGUAGAGAAUACCAAGGCGCUUGAGAGAACUCGGGUGAAGGAACUAGGCAAAAUGGUGCCGUAACUUCGGGAGAAGGCACGCUGACAUGUAGGUGAAGUGAUUUACUCAUGGAGCUGAAGUCA